rnacentral:rRNA from 1 species
GAUGAACGCUGGCGGCGUGCCUAAUACAUGCAAGUCGAGCGAACGGACGAGAAGCUUGCUUCUCUGAUGUUAGCGGCGGACGGGUGAGUAACACGUGGAUAACCUACCUAUAAGACUGGGAUAACUUCGGGAAACCGGAGCUAAUACCGGAUAAUAUUUUGAACCGCAUGGUUCAAAAGUGAAAGACGGUCUUGCUGUCACUUAUAGAUGGAUCCGCGCUGCAUUAGCUAGUUGGUAAGGUAACGGCUUACCAAGGCAACGAUGCAUAGCCGACCUGAGAGGGUGAUCGGCCACACUGGAACUGAGACACGGUCCAGACUCCUACGGGAGGCAGCAGUAGGGAAUCUUCCGCAAUGGGCGAAAGCCUGACGGAGCAACGCCGCGUGAGUGAUGAAGGUCUUCGGAUCGUAAAACUCUGUUAUUAGGGAAGAACAUAUGUGUAAGUAACUGUGCACAUCUUGACGGUACCUAAUCAGAAAGCCACGGCUAACUACGUGCCAGCAGCCGCGGUAAUACGUAGGUGGCAAGCGUUAUCCGGAAUUAUUGGGCGUAAAGCGCGCGUAGGCGGUUUUUUAAGUCUGAUGUGAAAGCCCACGGCUCAACCGUGGAGGGUCAUUGGAAACUGGAAAACUUGAGUGCAGAAGAGGAAAGUGGAAUUCCAUGUGUAGCGGUGAAAUGCGCAGAGAUAUGGAGGAACACCAGUGGCGAAGGCGACUUUCUGGUCUGUAACUGACGCUGAUGUGCGAAAGCGUGGGGAUCAAACAGGAUUAGAUACCCUGGUAGUCCACGCCGUAAACGAUGAGUGCUAAGUGUUAGGGGGUUUCCGCCCCUUAGUGCUGCAGCUAACGCAUUAAGCACUCCGCCUGGGGAGUACGACCGCAAGGUUGAAACUCAAAGGAAUUGACGGGGACCCGCACAAGCGGUGGAGCAUGUGGUUUAAUUCGAAGCAACGCGAAGAACCUUACCAAAUCUUGACAUCCUUUGACAACUCUAGAGAUAGAGCCUUCCCCUUCGGGGGACAAAGUGACAGGUGGUGCAUGGUUGUCGUCAGCUCGUGUCGUGAGAUGUUGGGUUAAGUCCCGCAACGAGCGCAACCCUUAAGCUUAGUUGCCAUCAUUAAGUUGGGUACUCUAAGUUGACUGCCGGUGACAAACCGGAGGAAGGUGGGGAUGACGUCAAAUCAUCAUGCCCCUUAUGAUUUGGGCUACACACGUGCUACAAUGGACAAUACAAAGGGCAGCGAAACCGCGAGGUCAAGCAAAUCCCAUAAAGUUGUUCUCAGUUCGGAUUGUAGUCUGCAACUCGACUACAUGAAGCUGGAAUCGCUAGUAAUCGUAGAUCAGCAUGCUACGGUGAAUACGUUCCCGGGUCU